ACUGGGACUGAGACACGGCCCAGACUCCUACGGGAGGCAGCAGUAGGGAAUCUUCGGCAAUGGGGGCAACCCUGACCGAGCAACGCCGCGUGAGUGAAGAAGGUUUUCGGAUCGUAAAGCUCUGUUGUAAGUCAAGAACGAGUGUGAGAGUGGAAAGUUCACACUGUGACGGUAGCUUACCAGAAAGGGACGGCUAACUACGUGCCAGCAGCCGCGGUAAUACGUAGGUCCCGAGCGUUGUCCGGAUUUAUUGGGCGUAAAGCGAGCGCAGGCGGUUUGAUAAGUCUGAAGUUAAAGGCUGUGGCUCAACCAUAGUUCGCUUUGGAAACUGUCAAACUUGAGUGCAGAAGGGGAGAGUGGAAUUCCAUGUGUAGCGGUGAAAUGCGUAGAUAUAUGGAGGAACACCGGUGGCGAAAGCGGCUCUCUGGUCUGUAACUGACGCUGAGGCUCGAAAGCGUGGGGAGCGAACAGGAUUAGAUACCCUGGUAGUCCACGCCGUAAACGAUGAGUGCUAGGUGUUGGAUCCUUUCCGGGAUUCAGUGCCGCAGCUAACGCAUUAAGCACUCCGCCUGGGGAGUACGACCGCAAGGUUGAAACUCAAAGGAAUUGACGGGGGCCCGCACAAGCGGUGGAGCAUGUGGUUUAAUUCGAAGCAACGCGAAGAACCUUACCAGGUCUUGACAUCGAUCUAAAGGCUCCAGAGAUGGAGAGAUAGCUAUAGAGAAGACAGGUGGUGCAUGGUUGUCGUCAGCUCGUGUCGUGAGAUGUUGGGUUAAGUCCCGCAACGAGCGCAACCCU
rnacentral:rRNA from 1 species